rnacentral:rRNA from 1 species
GACGAACGCUGGCGGCGUGCUUAACACAUGCAAGUCGUACGGUAAGGCCCUUUCUGGGGUACACGAGUGGCGAACGGGUGAGUAACACGUGAGUAACCUGCCCACAACUUUGGGAUAACGCUAGGAAACUGGUGCUAAUACUGGAUAUGUGCUCCUGCUGCAUGGUGGGGGUUGGAAAGCUCCGGCGGUUGUGGAUGGACUCGCGGCCUAUCAGCUUGUUGGUGGGGUAGUGGCCUACCAAGGCGGCGACGGGUAGCCGGCCUGAGAGGGUGACCGGCCACAUUGGGACUGAGAGACGGCCCAGACUCCUACGGGAGGCAGCAGUGGGGAAUAUUGCACAAUGGGCGCAAGCCUGAUGCAGCAGCGCCGCGUGCGGGAUGACGGCCUUCGGGUUGUAAACCGCUUUCAGCAGGGACGAAGCUUUUUGUGACGGUACCUGCAGAAGAAGCACCGGCUAACUACGUG